rnacentral:rRNA from 1 species
UACGGAGGGGGCGAGCGUUGUCCGAAGUUACUGGGCGUAAAGCGCGCGUAGGCGGGUUGGUAAGUCCGCUGUGAAAGCCCGGAGCUCAACUCCGGAGGGUCGGUGGAUACUGCCAGUCUUGAAGGUGCUAGGGGGAGAUGGAAUUACCGGUGUAGCGGUGAAAUGCGUAGAUAUCGGUAGGAACACCAGUGGCGAAGGCGGUCUCCUGGGGCAUUCUUGACGCUGAGGCGCGAAAGCUGGGGGAGCGAACGGG